AAAGAUUUCGUAUAUCGUAUAUGUUUGUUGAUAUGGAACAUUCGUUUCUACGAGGCACCGUAAAUGUCCUCUCUACGAUAGAGUACUUU
rnacentral:ncRNA from 1 species